rnacentral:rRNA from 1 species
GACGAACGCUGGCGGCGUGCUUAACACAUGCAAGUCGAACGGAGUGGCGAACGGGUGAGUAACACGUGGGUGACCUGCCCUGCACUUCGGGAUAAGCCUGGGAAAGUGGUUCUAAUACCGGAGAGUGUGGGGUGGGCGAUCGGCCUAUCAGCUUGUUGGGGGGGUAAAGGCCUACCAAGGGGGCGACGGGUAGCCGGACUGAGAGGGUGGACGGCCACAUUGGGCCUGAGACACGGCACAGACUCGUACGGGAGGCAGCAGUGGGGAAUAUUGCACAAUGGGUGGAAGCCGGAUGCAGAGACGUCGCGUGGGGGAUGACUGCCGUCGGGUUGUAAACGCCUUUCACCAUCACCGCGGUAGAUGGAGAAGAAGCACCGGCUAACUACGUGCCAGCAGCCGCGGUAAUAC